ACCUGGCUGGCUCAAUCUGUAAAGCAUGUGACUUUUAAUCUCAGGGUUGUGAGUUCAAGCCCCGCAUUGGGUG
rnacentral:tRNA from 1 species